rnacentral:rRNA from 1 species
CCUACGGGUGGCAGCAGUGAGGAAUAUUGGUCAAUGGACGAGAGUCUGAACCAGCCAAGUAGCGUGAAGGAUGACUGCCCUAUGGGUUGUAAACUUCUUUUAUAUGGGAAUAAAAUGUUCCACGUGUGGGAUUUUGUAUGUACCAUAUGAAUAAGGAUCGGCUAACUCCGUGCCAGCAGCCGCGGUAAUACGGAGGAUCCGAGCGUUAUCCGGAUUUAUUGGGUUUAAAGGGAGCGUAGGUGGAUUGUUAAGUCAGUUGUGAAAGUUUGCGGCUCAACCGUAAAAUGGCAGUUGAAACUGGCAGUCUUGAGUACAGUAGAGGUGGGCGGAAUUCGUGGUGUAGCGGUGAAAUGCUUAGAUAUCACGAAGAACUCCGAUUGCGAAGGCAGUUCACUGGACUGCAACUGACACUGAGGCUCGAAAGUGUGGGUAUCAAACAGGAUUAGAUACCCUAGUAGUC